GCCAGCAGCCGCGGUAAUACGGAGGGGGUUAGCGUUGUUCGGAAUUACUGGGCGUAAAGCGCGCGUAGGCGGAUUAGAAAGUUGGGGGUGAAAUCCCGGGGCUCAACCCCGGAACUGCCUCCAAAACUGCUAGUCUAGAGUUCGAGAGAGGUGAGUGGAAUUCCGAGUGUAGAGGUGAAAUUCGUAGAUAUUCGGAGGAACACCAGUGGCGAAGGCGGCUCACUGGCUCGAUACUGACGCUGAGGUGCGAAAGUGUGGGGAGCAAACAGGAUUAGAUACCCUGGUAGUCCACACCGUAAACGAUGAAUGCCAGUCGUCGGAUAGUAUACUAUUCGGUGACACACCUAACGGAUUAAGCAUUCCGCCUGGGGAGUACGGUCGCAAGAUUAAAACUCAAA
rnacentral:rRNA from 1 species